AGCGAACGCUGGCGGCAGGCCUAACACAUGCAAGUCGAACGAAGCCUUCGGGCUUAGUGGCGGACGGGUGAGUAACACGUGGGAUCGUACCUUUUGGUUCGGAAUAACGCAGAGAAAUUUGCGCUAAUACCGAAUGAGCCCCUAGGGGGAAAGAUUUAUCGCCGAAGGACCGGCCCGCGUUGGAUUAGGUAGUUGGUGUGGUAAAGGCGCACCAAGCCUACGAUCCAUAGCUGGUCUGAGAGGAUGAUCAGCCACACUGCGACUGAGACACGGCCCAGACUCCUACGGGAGGCAGCAGUGGGGAAUCUUGCGCAAUGGGCGAAAUCCUGACGCAGCCAUGCCGCGUGAAUGAUGAAGGUCUUAGGAUUGUAAAAUUCUUUUACCAGGGACGAUAAUGACGUUACCUGGAGAAAAAGCCCCGGCUAACUUCGUGCCAGCCGCCGCGGUAA
rnacentral:rRNA from 1 species